rnacentral:rRNA from 1 species
UACGUAGGGUGCAAGCGUUGUCCGGAAUUAUUGGGCGUAAAGAGCUCGUAGGCGGUUUGUCGCGUCUGCUGUGAAAACCCGAGGCUCAACCUCGGGCCUGCAGUGGGUACGGGCAGACUAGAGUGCGGUAGGGGGAGAUUGGAAUUCCUGGUGUAGCGGUGGAAUGCGCAGAUAUCAGGAGGAACACCGAUGGCGAAGGCAGAUCUCUGGGCCGGUAACUGACGCUGAGGAGCGAAAGCAUGGGGAGCGAACAGG